CAAGAACGAGGAAAUGCCGAGAAAAGGCUGCCCCCAACAAAACUGGAAAACCAGCCAGCACAGGCUCUCAAGAGAACACGAAACCACCGGAUCGCUGUGCCCUGACGGACACCAGCUGGAAUGUAUUCACCCGAAUAAAGAAAACACGUCACUCAGGAGAGGCGGCCGUCAGCCCUGGAAGGACAGCAGAACAGGAAAAGGAAAACCGAGGCGACAGUCAGCAGCGCCCACCCAACACAGUGCGAGGCAUGGGGUCGGCCUGGGUAUCGUGCACCCCCAGACCUGAUGACGAUACUGCGGUGGGGGGAGGGCGGGCGACAGCACGUAGGGGCUGAGGCAUCGGGUGCCCUGGGCCUGGCGCUGCCAGCCACGAGUGCCGCGCCUUGCCGCCCUGCAGCCGGGCGCGUCCUGCCUGCCUGCCUGCCCGGGCCUGUCGGCGCGUCCCUCCCCUCUCGCGCCAGACUAGUUCAUGACUCAGGACUCCGUCUGAGCGCUCCGAGACCAGGCUCCCUGGGAACCGGAAGGACACAGCCCAGGGCGGGAGCAGCAGGAGAGCAGGGCCCCAGUGCGCGCAUGGACUGACGCGCCUCCGCGCCUCCCUGUGGCCUGCGGUGCCUCUGAGCGCCAGGCUGCCCGGGCCUGGUCCCCCAGGUCUCAGUGAGAGAGGGUCUGGGCCUCGGCGGCCGAGGCGGGAAGCACCUGGGCUUCCUGGCGGGGACGCCCCCAUCCUGUGCUUCCAUCCCCAGCUUUUUCAUUCUGUCAACUGAUUUCUACCCAAGAAAGUCCACUCGACGACGCUGCCGCCACUGAAUCAGCCUGGAGCCGGAGAUGAGCCAGCUGCGGCCGAUUUGUCACAGAAUGACAGCUUAUUCUCAGUAUCCUUUAUUGGCAGUGGAAAACGCCUCAGUACUUUAUUGAAAGAAAGCAAUAAAUAAUACUGUGAUAAAAAUAGUUCAAAAGGAGACUGUACAUACUUUGUUACAUAAUCAGGAAGUUCACAAAAGAUUAACAGAAAACAGAGUGUAACAACAAAUCGUACAAGGAAGUUAAAAGCAGAAACCGAAUGUAAAGAGACACGCCGUCCACCGACAAAAUGAGCUGUAUAAUAAAUAACGCACCGUGGUCGGAACACAUUUCCUGCUGGCUCUUUAAUGUGCCAUUUAAAAAGGAAAAGUUACAUCUGCUACUUAGACAGUCCAAAACGGCUAUAUCGUCAAAAGCUAAAAAUGUACCACUAGGUCCCUCCUUUCAGCAUGUUUACAAACAAAUGUAAAAGGAUGAUUUACAUAAGAAAAAAUAAGGCCUUUAGUAGAGUCGCACUGCGUGGUUUCCUGGUUUCCGGGAGCCCCCGCCUUCCUCUUCCCGCACCAGCGUCCCUGCAGAGCGCGGUGCUUCCUGCUUGGUCCUCAAAGAGCAGCGGGGCGGGGGCCCGCGUCCGCCCGUAGGGGUAGAGCCCAGAGAGCCCCCCAGCCCUUCCUGCGGCCGAGAGAAGUGCUCCCGGCUGGGGCUCGUGCCGGGCGCUGAGGACAAGCCGUGCGGGUCCCCAGGGACGAGCUCUGCAAGCUACUGAGAGCCACCAGAGAUGCUCACAGUUCUGACGGCCCCUUCAGCCCAAAUUUUAUCAGAAGCUCAUAUUUAACGCCAGGUACUUUCAGUCUGUUCACGCUGCAGAAUAAAGCAUUUCUUGCUAGAAAAAGUAGAGUAAGGUCAGUCAUUAAAACACAAUUGCUUGAAAUUAAGUCUGCUUGUUUCAAAAUGAUUGUUGUAGAGCUGGUUACAUUUGUCAGGAUAACGCGCACCAUGUCAUGAUGAUCUUACAAAUGCAAAUGCAGUAAAAUCCUCUUCUCUCUCGCCGAUUAUUAUUAAAAAAUUAAUGAUAAUUACAAUAAAUGCAUAAUUUACAAAAGCCCUAUAUCUUUUCAUAGGAUUUAUACAUACAAGCAUUACAGUACAUUUGUUUGAAAGACUAAAAUUAGAUAUAAGAACAGAAUCGAUUUGAAAGGAUAUUUAUAGCCUGGAUAUGAAAAAGUAAGUAACUAUAUAAACGAAGUCAUAUGUUUACAUAAAUAUAAGAAACAUUAAAUUCUAAAAUAUUUUCUCUAUGGUAUUCGUGAAUUUUCACUAAUUAAAAACUCUGUAAUAAAUAUCUUAGGGUCCAUAUAACAAGUAUCAACAGAUUGUAGAUCCACUGAAUUCUGAAAGGCCGUCUUCGCCGGGUCCCGAGCGCUGCACGGUCAUCUGUAGAAGUAGUGUGGGUAAACUGGAAAGGAAGCACAAACAGGACAAUCAGCCUCAGGACGGGCCGCCCGGCGCGCACCUGCGUCCUGAGGCCCAGCCCUGCCUCCCUGCCCCGUGCGCUGUAGCUGCUUGAGAACUGAGAUGAAACGUCAAGGAGUACGCGUAUCAAUGAGAAAAUUCCUUGCUGACUUCCUUUUGGCGUAUGUCUAAAAGUUACCAAUUAAAAAGAUUAGGAAACCAAUCAAACCUUCUGGCGGAGACGUGAAAAGUGGAGAGCGGAACAGAGCCCCCGGCCCUGGCGCCACGAGCAGGGGCUGGGCUCCCAGCCCCACGUCACCCCUUCAGCGCGAGCGGGCUGCUCGUAACUGCACCCCUGCGAUGGCAACGCAGCUGUGUGUUUAAAACCACCCGCCAGGCCCUCAGGGUCGCACGACAGCGUGGCCCCAGGAAACCUGGCCGUGCGGGGUGCGGCUCAUUCAAGACCGUGUAUUUCUAAGAAAGCCAGUGGGCGCCGCUGACCUGGGAGCGACACCAGCGCGGAUGCCAGGGUCAAGGCGGAGAGCCGCCGUGCCGGGCGCUCUCAACCACGGGUGGUCGCCAGCCAAGAGCUGAGCCGGUGAGCUCCUGCCACGCGCUGCUCUCCUGCCUCCCCACCCCCAAAAGACAUUAGCAGAUACUGAAAAGAGUCCAGCACUUUCAGUUUUAAGGAAAAAAUGCAAAUACACUUUUUUCCUUAACAAAUGAGGAUACACGAACCCCUCUGUGACCAACUGUGAGCAUACAGAACACCAGAACCACGUAACGGGUGCAGCCGGGCUUGCGUGCGU
ensembl:lncRNA